rnacentral:rRNA from 1 species
UGUUCCUACGGGGGCCAGCAGUGGGGAAUAUUGCACAAUGGGGGGAACCCUGAUGCAGCGACGCCGCGUGAAGGAAGAAGUAUUUCGGUAUGUAAACUUCUAUCAGCAGGGAAGAAAAUGACGGUACCUGACUAAGAAGCCCCGGCUAACUACGUGCCAGCAGCCGCGGUAAUACGUAGGGGGCAAGCGUUAUCCGGAUUUACUGGGUGUAAAGGGAGCGUAGGCGGCAGUGCAAGUCAGAAGUGAAAGCCCAAGGCUCAACCAUGGGACUGCUUUUGAAACUGUACAGCUAGAUUGCAGGAGAG